AAUGCAAUGUAACCACAAUCUCAUGUCUCUUUGUAUCCUCUCUCUAAAUUUCAAGAAUUUCUAAAACAGAGCAUCCGGUUCCUCUUAAAUCCUUGGCUCUUCCUUAGUGAUAGCCCUUCCUAAUCUCUCUUCUCCUGCUCCCAAGCACCAGUUUUUAGCUCUGGUUUUCUGUAACAUCAUGGAUUGUUGGUAUUCUUCUCUUGACGUCGAUAAUGAAUUUGAGAAGCUUGUCUUUCGAAUGAACCCUCCAAGGGUCACUGUUGAUAAUGCUUCAAGCUCCAAAGCAACUUUGAUUAAGAGCAAAUAAGCAUUGGAGCUUGUUAGAGUUUGUGCAGGCUCUGGCUGAUUUGCGUUUGACCAUCAACGGGGCUUACACAUUUCUUCAGACGGGGAAUGGUACAUGGAUCGUGAGCUUCCUUUUUUAUUUUUCUUCUUCCCUCCUUUCUCUGUUGCAAACCAUUCUCCCUUUUUUUCUACUCUUUCUACUCCGUUUUCAUUUGAUUUGUAAUAUAUUCUCGUAUCGAUGGUGAUGUUAUUAACCGCAUUGAACAGGUAGAUCCCUGAAACACAAAGAUCCGGGUAGUUAGGAAAUUCCAUUUUUAUUUUUCCUACCAAAAAAUUAUUAAUAGCUCAGUGCCCUCUAAUACUGAGCUAUUCAUCCUCCUCUCAUCCCAUGGAUGCCCUUGUUUCAAGUAAUCCUUAUUUACUGGAUAAAAAGUGGAAAGCUUGUUCAUGGGUAAAGAAGAGGAAGAAAGGUAAUUAUGUCUGUAA